CUUGUCAGUGAUGUUUUACCAUUUAUUAUUCGAGUUUCAAUGACCAUGAGACUACCUUACAUGCACUACCAUCUGAGACAUC
rnacentral:snoRNA from 1 species